rnacentral:snRNA from 1 species
AUACUUACCUGGCAGGGGAGAUACCAUGAUCACGAAGGUGGUUUUCCCAGAGUGAGGCUCAUCCAUUGCACUCCGGGUGUGCUGACCCCUGCGAUUUCCCCAAAUGCGGGAAACUCGACUGCAUAAUUUGUGGUAGUGGGGGACUGCAUACGCACUUUCUCCUA